GCCUUCGUAGCUCAGUUGGGAGAGCGUGGCACUUGUAAUGCCAAGGUCUGUGGUUCGAUUCCGCACGGAGGCA